AGCGGGAGGAUUCCAAAUCAAGGGAUGCUUAUUUAAUCGGCGCGCUCAUUGGCGGCGAGGCUUGUUGCGGCAGAGGGGUCGGGUAAUCUUUCCUGCAUUGUGCGAAGUGUUUUGUCAGCUGUUGGGAAAAGCUGCCACGUCCCACACAGGCUCCCUUGCGGAUGAGAUCCUGGAGAGGCAGCCUUCCUUCUCCGACUGUCAUCGCAAGGAGCCGCGUGGAGAUGGAACUUCAGGCACAACAUUAGGCUGUCGACAGACCUUUUCAUCACACCUGCAGAAGAGGACAGAGGGAGCUGAGCUAACCCUGUGAGUGAACGUGGCUGCAAAACAGAAGGCAGAAGCCCCGACAACCCAGAAUCUCCAGCUCCAGGUGGCACUCCAGAAGGAUGUUAAGCUGGAGUUCAAGAUGGAGAGGCUGGAGAUACAGGAGACAGGACGGGAAGGUCCAGGGGAUGCCUCUCCUGCCGCCCAGAUGGAGAUGCUCGGCCAGCCGUUGAGCUGGACAGAGCCAGAACGCAUUAAACAAGGACCAGGAGAAGAGCUGUUGUUGCACCAGUGGGAAGCCUGGUGGCUGUGGUUCCUCAAGACCCUGCAGACCCCUCACUUGGAAGAGGCAGCCCCACAACUGCCCUGGAGUGAGAUUUCCAUGCCUUGCUUCAGGGAGGGUGCAGCUGCCAGCCAGCGGACCAGAAAAGAGCUGUUCUGAUGGGAAUAAAAGGGUAUUAUAAGCAAGCUGGCAAUUAUGGAAUAGCAAAGGUGGAAUAUUCCAAAAUGUGUGCAUGCGACCGACAUCGGAUAUUAUCCUCUAGACUGAGUCAAGUCUCUUUUGUCCAGUGUUCAUGGAUCAGAUGGCAUCUCUGCUGCAAUGACUAUAAAAUCAGAGAGGCUGUGGUUAUGGAAACUCUGGGUUGAAAAUGAUUGUUUCGAUUUUUUCAUCAAGGUUUCAGAUGAAUGGUUGCUAAAGGAUGUGCACUCGUCAAUAGCUGUUCUACCCAUGUAUUGAAUACAGAAUCCAGAGGAUCACUGAAUAAAACACUUUUAUAUCCUG